rnacentral:rRNA from 1 species
CCUACGGGAGGCAGCAGUAGGGAAUUUUCGUCAAUGGGCGCAAGCCUGAACGAGCGAUGCCGCGUGAGUGAAGAAGGCCUUCGGGUCGUAAAGCUCUGUUGCGGGGGAAAAAAGGCAGCAUCAGGAAAUGGGUGCUGACUGAUGGUGCCCCGCCAGAAAGUCACGGCUAACUACGUGCCAGCAGCCGCGGUAAUACGUAGGUGGCGAGCGUUAUCCGGAAUGGUUGGGCGUAAAGGGUGCGCAGGCGGUCCUGCAAGUCUGGAGUGAAACGCAUGAGCUCAACUCAUGCAUGGCUUUGGAAAGUGGAGGACUGGAGAGCAGGAGAGGGCGGUGGAACUCCAUGGGUAGCGGUAAAAUGCGUAGGUAUAUGGAAGAACACCAGUGGCGAAGGCGGCCGCCUGGCCUGUUGCUGACGCUGAGGCACGAAAGCGUGGGGAGCAAAUAGGAUUAGAUACCCUUGUAGUC